GAUAAGAACGUAGCGAAAUGCGAUAAGUAAUGUGAAUUGCAGAAUUCAGUGAAUCAUCGAAUCUUUGAACGCACAUUGCGCCCCUUGGUAUUCCGAGGGGCAUGCCUGUUCGAGCGUCAUUAUAACCCCUCAAGCUCAGCUUGGUGUUGGGGCCUGCUGCACUGGCAGCCCUUAAAAUCAGUGGCGGCGCCAUCUGGCUCUAAGCGUAGUAAUUCUUCUCGCUAUGGAGUCCUGGUGGAUGCUUGCCAUCAACCCCCAAUUUUUCUAUGGUUGACCUCGGAUCAGGUAGGGAUACCCGCUGAACUUAAGCAUAUCAAUAAGCGGAGGA
rnacentral:misc_RNA from 1 species